UGGCUGUGUGCUAAUACUGCAUGUCGAACGACGCACUUGUGCUUAGUGGCAAAUGGGUGAGUCACACGUACUUAAUCUACCCCCAAGUUUGGGAUAACAGUUGGAAACAAUUGCUAAUACCAAAUACAUAUAAGUUUUGCAUAAUUCUUAUAUAAAAGGAGCGUUUGUUUCGCUAGGGGAUGAGAGUGCGCUACAUUAGUUAGUUGGUAGGGUAAGAGCCUACCAAGACUAUGAUGUAUAGCGGGGCUGAGAAGCUGAACCGCCACACUGGGACUGAGAUACGGCCCAGACUCCUACGGGAGGCAGCAGUAGGGAAUAUUCCACAAUGAGCGAAAGCUUGAUGGAGCAACACAGCGUGCAGGAAGACGACCUUAGGGUUGUAAACUGCUGUUAUGAGGGAAGAAAAAUAAAAUUAGGAAAUGAAUUUUACAUGACGGUACCUCAUCAGAAAGCACCGGCAAACUAUGUGCCAGCAGCCGCGGUAAUACAUAGGGUGCAAGCGUUAUCCGGAAUUAUUGGGCGUAAAGUGUCUGUAGGUGGUAUGUUAAGUCUAGUGUUAAAGACUAGGGCCCANCCCUAGCACGC
rnacentral:rRNA from 1 species